UACGUAGGGGGCUAGCGUUGUCCGGAUUUAUUGGGCGUAAAGAGCGUGUAGGCGGCCAGGUAGGUCUGCUGUGAAAACUCGAGGCUCAACCUCGAGACGUCGGCGGAAACCAUCUGGCUAGAGUCCGGAAGAGGAGAGUGGGAAUUCCUGGUGUAGCGGUGAAAUGCGCAGAUAUCAGGAAGAACACCCUGGCGAAGGCGGCUCUCUGGGACGGUACUGACGCUGAGACGCGAAAGCGUGGGGAGCGAACAGG
rnacentral:rRNA from 1 species